rnacentral:rRNA from 1 species
UACGUAGGUGGCAAGCGUUAUCCGGAAUUAUUGGGCGUAAAGCGCGCGCAGGCGGUUUCUUAAGUCUGAUGUGAAAGCCCACGGCUCAACCGUGGAGGGUCAUUGGGAACUGGGGAACUUGAGUGCAGAAGAGAAAAGCGGAAUUCCACGUGUAGCGGUGAAAUGCGUAGAGAUGUGGAGGAACACCAGUGGCGAAGGCGGCUUUUUGGUCUGUAACUGACGCUGAGGCGCGAAAGCGUGGGGAGCAAACAGG